rnacentral:piRNA from 1 species
UGGUCCUCAUUCUGACUUCAGGAAGCAC